AUAUAUAUCUUUAUUCUCAUAAACCAAAGUACAAUGGUACAGAGACAUAUACAAAUAAAUUAACAUAGUAUAAAUUUUAAAUACAAAUGUAAAAUAGAGACAUAAAGUGAUUACCCAGGAGAUUCUAGGCAUUUCAUAAUAAUUCUUAUAAACUUGCACAGAUUGUUUAGUUCAGACGGGUUGCUACUAUUCAUUAGACCUUGAAAUUUUAAAAUAUUUGGUCUGUUUAUAAAAUGAUGCUUUAGUAGCAGUUGUCUACUAUCGUCUAUUGCCGAGCAUUCUAAAAUAUAAUGGAACUCGUCGCCAAUGUCACCGGAAUUGCACAAAGUACAAAUACGAUUUUCUCUCUGAAUGUUUUGCCAUCUACCAAUUUCGAUAGGAAUUUUUGUGUU
rnacentral:lncRNA from 1 species